GUCAUCUAAAAAUGACUAGUGUUCCUAAACAUGAUGUGAUUUCACAAGCUUAAACAUGUCUGACGUUCUUUUCUAACCUUUGCUGGAUGCUUCAACAGUGUUUGGCUGUCAAUAAUUUACCCUGGCUGAUUGAGUUUAUACUUGCCUGCUUUGUGAAUAAAAGUGUUUGGAUUACAAAGAAGAGAUUGAGUUAUCCUGCAGAGAGAUGGUGCAAUAAGCAGAUUUUUCUCUUCUUUCAUCCACAGCAUUAUUUCAGCUGGGAGCUGUAGUAUGUGACUAAUUAGCCAAUGGAAGUCCACUCUCUGGACUUUCUGGUGGUAUAUUUACACUGAAUUCUGGCCUGAUAAUAAAGGUGUCACCCAGUGUAACAAUGUGACACACCCAGAGUGAAGAAGAAAAGUCUAAGAUAACACAGAGCCUCUGUCAGCCCUCAAACUUAUUUUUCACAAGCUUCAGCAAUAUUCCAAACAACAAAAGAAAUAUGACUGAACAGACACAAAUUUUGAGGACAUAUUUUUUCCCCAGUAUUUUUUUAACAGGUACUACUGAUGUCCCAGUGCUUUUGAGGGUCUUGUUUGUCCUCCUGGAUGCUUUAGGAAGUUACCACUUUCAGCUCACCUAGAGCUGAUCUCAUUAAUAAAAGAAUGACUUUACAGAAAAGAGUUUCUAAAAUUAUACUCUCACUCAGAAUUGCAAGAGUUGGCUUUUCAGCCUGAAGAUAAAUUUCUUAAGCAUUAAGCUUACUUUAUCAAGUAUUACACCUGACAUUCUCUCAUAAAUUUUGCAUAUAUUUUAACUAAUUUUAAUAUUGUGUGGGCUUGGUUUAUAAUAUUCUCAUGCAGUUACUAAAGUUGAAUCUUCUCAGUCAUAUAUUAGUUGUAAGAAUGCUUAACCCCUUCCAAAAUAUCACUCACUUAAAAUCACAUCAGCUAAGUCUCCUCUUAUUUUUGCUUAUUUCUUGGUUAUUUACCAUGCAUUUUGUGUAUGUUGGAACCAGCCAUGCAGUCGUUGUAUUCCUUUUUUGAGAGGGCAAAUGUAUUUUGACAAGGUUGCUAUUGGAAACACUUUUUAAAUAUCUCAUGUGUCACAUCACAAUCAGCAUCAUAAUCUGAUCAGGUGGAUUAAUUUCAGAAGGCAGCAGAGGGCAUUGCUUACAGGGGUCACAGACAUUCAGAUCAUGGCAGAACUGUCACAGAUGUUACUUUGUGAAAACACAAAGAAUAAUGUGUUUGGAGAGAUCAGUCUUCAAUUAGCUAUAUUUUCUAGGAGCCUACCUUUACUUAGCCUCACAACAUGGGCCUUAGCUUUAGCACUUAAUCUGCACAAAUACCUGGCUUAAGUGUUAUGACUGACUGGCUAUUCAACCAAACCAUACAAAUGACCAAUUCGGUAAGAAAGCAUGAACUUCAGUGUUGAACCAAAUCAACCAACCUCCUCAAUCCAAAUGAACAAUGCUAUUCUAGGAGUCUGUGCUAGAAUAAAAUCCUAAUGCAAAGGCUGUCUUAAAAUGCUGAACCCAGAAGAAUUUGGCAUAAAUAAGACAUGGAGUUAGCUGACAUGAGAUAUUACAUUUAUUCCACUGUUGACGAGGACAAAACUGGGCCGCUAUUGUCACAGGAGAGGAUAACAAAGGAAGCUGAGGAAGUCUGUUCUGGAGGCACCAUGACAAAGCACCAGACAGAAAGCAGUCACGUGUGGGGAGAUGAGCAGAGACACCACUUCUCAAGCACCUGAUUAUUCUUUCUCAGUAUUUAGAAGCAAAAAUUAUCCUUAAGAAAAACAACCGCAAACGCAACACAGGCUACACAGAUGAGAAAAUGGGGCUUGCAGAGCUCAAACCAUUACACCAUUCAGAAGCUGGCUUUGGUAUUACUUCAAGUUAUUCAAAACAGUCACCACUUGCUGAGCCUCUGAUGUCUCAUCUGUUGAAUGGAUUUCAAGAGAGAAGGCUGAAAAGGAAGGUGACUGGAAUAUUAAGAACUGUGAGAUAUUCUGAGGAAACUCUAAUUUGUAAAUUGGUAGAAAUGCCAGUAAUUUGUUGGGAAUUGAAGACCCUCUGUAUUCAAGAGCGAAGCUUGGCAGCUGUGCACUGUUGUUUUAUAAAUCAAUAUUACAUCUGAAGGUGGUGUUUGAAUGUUUGUGUCAUUGGGGUUUGUCUCCAACAUAGUCCUGUGACAAGAAAUGUUCAAACAAAACAAACACAAUCCCUUCCCUGUCCUUUAGGAUAAAGUCCAAACGUAAUUCCACAACAGGGAUAUAACAUUCAAAUCAACUACAGAACUUCUGUAAUUAUAUAAAACCCCACGACCACAGAAAUGCAAUUGAAUUGAAGACACUUUGCAAUAUUCCCCAAGAAAGGACUGUGUGGCUGUCAGAUUAACAAAAGUCAAGAGGUGGUGAGACAAUGCUCACCAUUGCAAAAAAGAGCUUUGUGCAUAAUGAACAGAAUUUGCAUGCCUGUUUAGGAAAUUAAGGUGAAGCCAAGGUGACUUAGGGUCACAUGAGGAGUCACAAC
rnacentral:lncRNA from 1 species